rnacentral:tRNA from 1 species
UGCGGGGUGGAGCAGUGGUAGCUCGUUGGGCUCAUAACCCAAAGGUCGUUGGUUCGAAUCCAGCCCCCGCUA